UUAUGGAGCCAGCUGGGAGGGUAGAACCCUGCCUGUUCUCAAAAGACCACAGCAGGCAGAUUAUUGUCCAGGAGAACUUCUUCAUCUGGUUGGGGAAAGCAGAGGCAAGAGUUCUACCCACAGGGGACAGGAAUCAAAGGGGGAAACUCCUGGAACUGACUGGCCAUUAAAGAGCGUAUGGAGUCAGAGAGUGACCUUGCCAGCACCACACGACAUUAGCACAGAUGGCCUUGGCCAUGUUAAUGACAUUUCCAUGGGAAGAUCCAUAUCUUUGACAUUUCUUGCACUCCCAGAAGCUGCAAGCAGCAUGAAGUAGCCUAAAGAGGAUUGACCUGACAGAAAAGCGUGUCCAGCUCACUCCAGCCACCCCAGACAUUGUGAGUAGCAUUCCCAGCAUGAAUCAGACACAUCUGCAUCCUCUGGCACUGCUGGAGAUGGAGAACAGAGACCAAAAGUGUGCAUGGAAUCACCAGCAGGAUCAUCCAAAGCUCUGUGGGAAGCAGGUCCAGGGAGGGGAUUCUCCUCUUUACUCUGCCCUCAUGAGAUCCCACCCAGAGAGCCGUGCCCAGUUUGGAUAUCCCAACAUCAGAAGAAUGUGGAACUGUUGGAGCAAGUCCAGAGGAGGCCUUGAGGUUGAUAAGGGGACUGGGGCACCUUUCCUAUGGACAAAGGAUGGGAAAGUUGGGGAUGUUCACUCUGGAGAAGAGAAGGUUGUUUGGAGAAGCUUCCAGUGCCUGAAGGGGCUGCAAGAAUCCUGGAGAGGAACAAUUCAUCAGGAACUGAAGUGACAGGACAAGGGAGAAUGGGCUCAAACUGAAAGAAGGGAGAUUUAGGUUUGAUAUAAAGAAGAAAUUGUUCCCUGUGAGGGUGGCAAGGCCCUGGCACAGUGUGUCCAAAGAAGCUGUGGAUGCCCCAUCCCUGGAAGUGCCCAAGGCCAGGCUGGACAGGGCUUGGAGCAGCCUGAGAGAGUGGAAGGUGUCCCUGCCAUGGCAGGGGUGGAAUGAGAUGAUCUUUCAGAUCUCUUCUUUCCCAAACCAUUCCAUGAUUACCACAAGGACAUAAAAUGCACCUUAAAGGAGAGGAUCACUAUGACACCUGUGAACCGAACAUGUGUGUCUUGUUUAAGCAUAGGACCAUGGGCUCAAAAGGUUUUUAAAUUAUCUACCAGCAGUCUGGUCUUCUUAUUUGUGCUUAUUAGCUCCCUAAAAAGAGAUGUGACUCUGCAAGUGGUGCUUCCAAUGCAUAAGGUAGAAAGAAGAGGUGCAGAAAUGAUUCAAGAGAUGAAAGUCCAUUUUUAAAAAUGGUGGUGCAAGGAGACAUUCAGCUAUGAAAAAGGAGCUGAUAAAGAGAAAAAACAACUGCCUGAAAGAUGAGGGAGAAGACCUUUAAAAUUAUCAGCUACUCCAGGAAGUUUUGCAACUGAAUAGAAAAAGAGAAAAAGCUCUUUCCAGAUCUCAGGAGAGAGAAGAGAGAAGGUAUGGAUCCUUUCAAGGGCUGAUGGACAUCCACAAUCUGUAUGACCCACCCCUACAGGACAAGAAUAUGAAAAAUCUUGCAAAUAUUGUACCCACAGACAAGAGGCAGAAAUUGGAGUCAAUUCCUCAACACCCUACUGUGGCAAACAUUCCUUUGAUUGUGGCUUCCUUAUUAUAAGUCAUGAAUUAGGAUUUAGCAUGCAAUUAUAAACAAAAUUGAAUCCUAGAAGAACCCAUAAGUAGCAUUCAAAUCUCAAAUUAAAAAUUACAAUUAUUCCUCAUCUAGAUCAAGUUUAUUCCUUCAGUCUGACGUUUUACUUCUCUUUCUUCUGGACAGUGGGAUUAUCUUGAUUAAAUCUGUGAUUCUGUGAUUUCUUUUGAGUUUUUUUUUUUUCCCUAUGCUUUGCACUUACUGGGGAGGGGGAAAAGAAUAUUGGCAUCUGCAAAGCAAUUGACUGUGCAGCCUGAUCAUUUGCUAAGCAUUAUUAAAAGCUCCCUGAAAUCACUCCAGUGCUUUGCCCUUUACAAGCCAUCAGCCAUCAAUUCAGACCAUCAAAUGUGAUUACCAGCACUCCUCCUGAAGCUACUUCCAAGCCAUUAGGCUGAUCGAAAAGCUGUGUCUUUCUCUUCCUCCCAAGUGCAUGUAAAUCCAGCAGACCCUGCUCCUGUGUUUGGGUGGUGAUUCAUUACACUUCUGAAUAGCAUUUGUGGUGUUACAACUCCAAGACGAGUCAGAAUUCAUUAAAUUUUCAGAUAUUGUCCUUAUUUAAGGGAACUUUUUCAGAAAUAGGCCCACAUGUUCCUCUCUCUUCUCUGUGCCUCUAUCCAUUAUGUAUUUAAAAUGUUCUGCUGGUGUGUAAAGAGAUUUAAUGACAGUGGCUUGGAAAAAUACAAUCAGAAAAGAAUAAAACUUUUCUGCCAAAAUUUUUUUAACAAUUCCAGGUUUUUUUUUUCCUGCAAAAAAAAAAAAAUUUUACAAAACAUCCUUUUUUAAGGAGUAUAUUGUGGCUAUUUUGCUCUUCUCUCUGAGCAGGAGUGGAUGAGAUGACUCCAAGAGAACCUUUAUCCACAGCCUUAUGAAAUAUCCUGUAGGAAAGUGGUAAAAGCUUUAUAUUUGCCACAGAUUGGUUUUGGGAACUCAAGCUCAGCACAGGGAUGGUUUUCUGCACAGAGUUAUAAUUGAAUUGAGGUGUUGUCUUUCCUCCCAGCCCAGCCUUCACUCCAAGAACACGCACAAUCACAAACACAAAUAUCUCACAGGGAAAUAUCAACAACUAUUGAGCUGAAAUAGGCUGGACUAGCCCCCAAACAUAAAUGUGAAAAGCUCAACAACCUGCACCUCCUUAAUUUCAUCCAGACUGAAAAUUGGAGGAAACGGAACAUUUCAUGAAUAUCCCAAUAGAAAUUCAGCUCUCAGGCAUGCUACCAUCUCCUCCUAUUUUAAAUUGAGCAAAUGACCAAUUUCUCAUUUAUUUGUGUGGGAAAUGUCUUUCAUGUGGUUUCUCAUUCUAUAAUUGGAACAUAAUGUGUCCAGAUUAUUUAUCUUCACCUGAUUGAGAAACCAUAAUAAAUCCUCACAAAAGGAAGAGGUCCUGCAGCAACAAAAGCAGAAAAAAAGUCAUUAUAAAUGCAAGACAGCAAGAUAGACAGGUAACUAGAAGAUGCACCAUUCCCUGCAAAUAAUUUAUAACAAAUCAUUUAUUUAUCCAAUUUCACCAUUUUUUUCUGCUCACAAUGCAUUAGCAAGAUCCCGGAGUCCUAGAACUGACUUUUUACUUGAAAUUAUUCAUGAUUUUUCCCUUUUAAAGAUAAAAAGGUUUGUCUUCUCCUUUCUUUUCAAAUGAUUUUACAAGGCUUGAAAAUUAUGUAGAGUUAAAUAAGACAACUAUUUUGGAGCUUUAAAAAACUGAAAACUAUCUAGGCCUUAAUUUUGUGACACAAUUAUGCUUGACUACUUUUUUUUCUUAGGAUACUUUUCUAAGCAGGAUGCUUCAGUAAUGCUAUGAGAAUAGUUAAGAUUAAUUUCACUCUGAUUUUAAGCAAAUCAGAUGUCUAAGCACCAUAUAGAUCUAGGUCAGUCACAUUACUCCUUGUCCUAUGACUACAGCUUCUGGUGAAAAGUCUCUCUCUGUUGAGACUUGGAACCCAGAGAUUUUUUUUUCCCAUGUUACCACAACUUUUGCAUCUGGUUUGCCCAGGGGUUUGUCUUUUUCAAUAAAUUCCUUUCCUAAUGAGAGUGAUAAUUUCCUUCUUCAUGGAAACUUUCCCUUGCAUGGUGGAAUGGCUCUGAGGAACCCAACACGGGGAUGUCUUCACUUCUGUUCAACGGAACUGAUGUUUUCCUGAAAGGAGCAUUUCAAACACACAGGUGUUGUUUAGGGAAUCAUUUGGAAGGACUGGAAUAUGCCAGGGAGGAGAGCCCAGAGCCUCUCUGGGCUCUGCUCAGGGCUGGGCACUGCCCAGGGCAGAAGUUGUGCCUCCUGUGCAGGGAAUUGCUGGGCUCAGCCCCUGCCCGUGGCUCUGGGGCCAUCGCUGGGCCUGGGGCAGAGCCUGGGGCUGCUCUGACCUCCUGCACACAGGGACACACAGGGACACACAGGGACACACAGGGACAGCCAGGGACACACAGGGACAGACUGGGACACACAGGGACACCCAGGGACAGACUGGGACACACAGGGACAGGCUGGGACACACAGGGACACACAGGGACAGACUGGGACACACAGGGACACACAGGGACAGACUGGGACACACAGGGACACACAGGGACACACAGGGACAGCCAGGGACAGACUGGGGACACACAGGGACACCCAGGGACACACAGGGACACACAGGGACACACAGGGACACACAGGGCUCAGGCCCCUCUCACUGGGGCUCUCUCCAGGCUGAGCAGCCCCAGCUCCCUCAGCCUUUCCUGGGCCCGGAGCUGCUCCAGGCCCUUGCUCAGCUCCAGGAGCUCCUGGCCCUGCUGUGCUGAGGAGCCACAGCUGGACACAGCACCCAGAGGUGCCCCCAGGGCUGGGCACAGCACCCAGAGGUGCCCCCAGGGCUGGGCACAGCACCCAGAGGUGCCCUCAGGGCUGGGCACAGGGGCAGGGUCACCCCUGACCCGCUGGCAGUGCCCAUCCCGAUGCACCCAAUUCCUCUUGGUAGCUUUGUUCGUGUCAGAGCCAAGUGACAUUCCUGUAAUUACAACACCCGAGUUAGGUGUAGACAUAAAGCAGUAUGUGGAUAGAAAUCCCCAAAUUUAGAAUUUGAGAACUCACUUGUUUAAACCCAACCCUUUGUGUGAGCAGCUGUCACAGCUGGACUGUGGGAAUCCAGGGCUUCCCUCUGGCUGCCCUGGAAGGUCUGGGACCCUGGCAGGGGUCAGGAACCCCCCUGGACAGAGCCCCCAGAGACACUGGCUGUGAUCUCUGCCCAUGGAAAAGUGUUUUCAAUCUUACAGGAUGAAUUACAAGCUCUGAGUGUUUGAUAUGAGUAAUAAUUAAGUGUGGCACAGGUGCAAAAGUAAAAUUUUAGGUUUCUAGAUUAGGGGUCCAAAGGGGACAAGAUGGAGGAAUUGGGUGUGUCUUGUCCUUUUCCUCCUUCUUCAUGUCCUCCAUAUUUCACUGUAGUGUUGGCAUUUUUCUGUUGGUUUAGGCUGGGGACACACUGUCCAACGUAGGUGACAGAUAUUGGCACGUUAUUGUAAAUCCAGCACAGGUAGUUUCUGGUAUUUAAUGUUUGUACCAUCCCACUGAGGGCAGAGCCCCACACGCUGCCCUGCAGGACAGAGCUGCGGCAGGGCAGCAGAACAUGUUAGAGAUAAACAGAAUAAACAACCUUGAAACCAGCACAGACGAAUUAUGGCUUCUUCUUUGGCAACGGGGCAGAAAGACAGAGACUUUCUACAAUCUUGGAAUCAUCAAUACCACGGAUUCCGACAGUGGACCAUGUCAGGGAUCACAGAACAGGCAAUGAAGAACCUGAAACAAAAGGUUCCCCUGCUCUGAAGAUUUUCCUGAAAGAUCUGUUGUAAAAAUGACAAGGGCCGAGGACCUUUAGCAAAAGCUUAAUCAGCAGUUUCUUUUAUGAAGCAGUGUUAAAAUUUGUUGCAAUAUUAAUGAUUUUAGCUCCUCAACAAUAGGAUACCUUUUAUCCCGCCUGUGGCAUAAAAUACUGCUUUUAACAUUUUGACUUUCUGUCAGUAUUAGAAUACGUAUUAAAUGACAGAAAAUUCAUUAUGUGUUGCAAUAUAAAUUAAGGGGAGAACCCAGACAGAUCAGCCACCUUGUUCACUCAGAUAACAGACAGCUUAUUUAGAACUACUUCUUAUAUGAUUUUGCAUUUUUUAAGCUACCCUUAGUGCUUCCUUUUUCUAUUACACUUACUGAGCCAUGUAUAUUUUACAUAUUAUGUAUUUACCAAACUUAAUGCCUUUUCCUCAGAAAUGCUGCUCAUAAAGAGAAGGUGCAUAAAGCACAUAUUAAAUUCACAUAUGCCAGCAAAGGGAAAGAUAAGAGGAAGGUCAGCAGAUCGUCUAAAUUUUUCCAGCCCUCCAUAAUAUUUCACUUAUUUGUUACCAAGACAGAGUAGGUUAAAAAAAAAAACAACAAAAAAAAAAAACAAAAAAAAAACCAAAACAUUGCUACAACAUUUACAUCACCCAAGGAUCACAUUUUUUAGAACUGGUCCACCAAAAUCACUUAUUUUUGUGUCAUAGAAGGACUAUCAGGUAGGACAAGCAUUUCAAAGAUUGUAUCCUGAAAAGAAGCAUUAAUUGCUUUUACCUCCUUCUAUCCAAAAAUAUUUUCAUAUUCAAAGUCAACCAGGGCUGAAAAUCUCACAAAAAAAUCCACAGUCUUAUCUCUCCAAAUAGUUAAGCAGGAAUACAUAAGAAAUGGGAUGGUGUGUGAAUUUCAGAAGCUUAAUCUUUUAAUUAGAGAAGGUUCCAUUUUUGAUAUCAAUAUUUCUGAAGCCAUCGCACCAGACGGAAAACUGAAGCAUUAACAUGGCAGAACUAGACAAUCUAUUUAAUUGUUGGGACAGAAAAUAAAUGAUUGACUUAUUGAUUACUACAUUUAGCAAAAUUAUCAAGCUACUAUUUACACUGUUUUAUCCAUUGCUAUGCUGUAUUUUCAUCCAUAAAAGAAUUUAUGAGCAAUUGAAAGAAUUUGUCACUUCAGUGCCUAACAGCUGGAAUGGUCUUCCUGCUUUAAAAUCAAAGUUUUAAAACC
rnacentral:lncRNA from 1 species